GAUGAACGCUGGCGGCGUGCCUAAUACAUGCAAGUCGAGCGAACGGACGAGAAGCUUGCUUCUCUGAUGUUAGCGGCGGACGGGUGAGUAACACGUGGAUAACCUACCUAUAAGACUGGGAUAACUUCGGGAAACCGGAGCUAAUACCGGAUAAUAUUUUGAACCGCAUGGUUCAAAAGUGAAAGACGGUCUUGCUGUCACUUAUAGAUGGAUCCGCGCUGCAUUAGCUAGUUGGUAAGGUAACGGCUUACCAAGGCAACGAUGCAUAGCCGACCUGAGAGGGUGAUCGGCCACACUGGAACUGAGACACGGUCCAGACUCCUACGGGAGGCAGCAGUAGGGAAUCUUCCGCAAUGGGCGAAAGCCUGACGGAGCAACGCCGCGUGAGUGAUGAAGGUCUUCGGAUCGUAAAGCUCUGUUAUUAGGGAAGAACAUAUGUGUAAGAAACUGUGCACAUCUUGACGGUACCUAAUCAGAAAGCCACGGCUAACUACGUG
rnacentral:rRNA from 1 species